rnacentral:rRNA from 1 species
UACAUAGCUUAAUGAGGGGAACUCAGGGAACUGAAACAUCUAAGUACCUGAAGGAAGAGAAAGAAAUUCGAUUCCGUAAGUAGCGGCGAGCGAACGCGGAUUAGCCCAAACCAAUAAAGUUUUCUUUAUUGGGGUUGCGGACAUAUCAUAACAAAGCGGUAUCGUAAGUGACGAUGUUUGGCAAGACCCACCACAGACGAUAAUAGUCCAGUACGCUCAACGAGCAGACGUCAGAUAUGAUCCAGAGUACCACGGGACACGUGAAACCCUGUGGGAAGCAGGAGGGACCACCCUCCAAGGCUAAAUACUACCUAGUGACCGAUAGCGUAUAGUACCGUGAGGGAAAGGUGAAAAGAACCCCGGGAGGGGAGUGAAAUAGAACCUGAAACCCUGCACUUACAAGCUGUGGAAGCACAUUUCUUGUGUGACCGCGUACUUUUUGUAGAACGGGCCAACGAGUUACGUUAAGUAGCAAGGUUAAGCACUUAAGGUGCGGAGCCGUAGCGAAAGCGAGUUUUAACUGAGCGUUCAGUUACUUGACGUAGACCCGAAACCGGGCGACCUACCCAUGAGCAGGAUGAAGCGAAAGUAAAAGUUCGUGGAGGUCCGAACCCACGAGCGUUGAAAAGCUCGGGGAUGACUUGUGGGUAGCGGUGAAAUUCCAAUCGAGCCCGGAGAUAGCUGGUUCUCCCCGAAAUAGCUUUAGGGCUAGCCUCAAGGUGA